ACACCUCAACUCUCACGGUUUGCCCGUGAUGAGCUUGGACUUCUGGCGGUUUUGCUGGCCUGCGGUCGGCUCCUCUCAAAUCAAUCAGCUUACCAGUGUUUGGUGGCGUCAUGGGUGUGAUAACUAUCUACGCUUGUGGCCGUCUGCCAGGUAACCUUCAGUGAUGGAGGUUUGCUGGGGCUUACAAACGUCUCUCCCCAGCGAGGACAGCUUUUUGAAC
rnacentral:misc_RNA from 1 species